rnacentral:rRNA from 1 species
AACGAACGCUGGCGGCAGGCCUAACACAUGCCAGUCGAGCGGACCCUUCGGGGUUAGCGGCGGACGGGUGAGUAACGCGUGGGAAUAUGCCCUUCUCUACGGAAUAGUCCUGGGAAACUGGGGGUAAUACCGUAUACGCCCUUUGGGGGAAAGAUUUAUCGGGGAAGGAUUAGCCCGCGUUGGAUUAGGUAGUUGGUGGGGUAAUGGCCUGCCAAGCCGACGAUCCAUAGCUGGUUUGAGAGGAUGAUCAGCCACACUGGGACUGAGACACGGCCCAGACUCCUACGGGAGGCAGCAGUGGGGAAUCUUAGACAAUGGGGGCAACCCUGAUCUAGCCAUGCCGCGUGAGUGAUGAAGGCCUUAGGGUUGUAAAGCUCUUUCAGCUGGGAAGAUAAUGACGGUACCAGCAGAAGAAGCCCCGGCUAACUCCGUG